ensembl:snoRNA
GUCCAAGGUGAUUCCCUCUCCAAGGGGCCAAUUGAUGCCCUUCUCAGGAACAUAGAAACUUGGAAGAAAACUUGGAAUGCCGAAGGUCUUUGAGGAGCAAGGGAUGCAUAUUUCCUUUGCCUCACUUUGGUUGCCACAUGA